UAACACGUGAGCAACCUGCCCUGGACUCUGGGAUAAGCGCUGGAAACGGUGUCUAAUACUGGAUAUGAGCUCUCAUCGCAUGGUGGGGGUUGGAAAGAUUUUUUGGUCUGGGAUGGGCUCGCGGCCUAUCAGCUUGUUGGUGAGGUAAUGGCUUACCAAGGCGUCGACGGGUAGCCGGCCUGAGAGGGUGACCGGCCACACUGGGACUGAGACACGGCCCAGACUCCUACGGGAGGCAGCAGUGGGGAAUAUUGCACAAUGGGCGGAAGCCUGAUGCAGCAACGCCGCGUGAGGGAUGACGGCCUUCGGGUUGUAAACCUCUUUUAGCAGGGAAGAAGCGUGAGUGACGGUACCUGCAGAAAAAGCGCCGGCUAACUACGUGCCAGCAGCCGCGGUAAUACGUAGGGCGCAAGCGUUAUCCGGAAUUAUUGGGCGUAAAGAGCUCGUAGGCGGUUUGUCGCGUCUGCUGUGAAAUCCCGAGGCUCAACCUCGGGUCUGCAGUGGGUACGGGCAGACUAGAGUGCGGUAGGGGAGAUUGGAAUUCCUGGUGUAGCGGUGGAAUGCGCAGAUAUCAGGAGGAACACCGAUGGCGAAGGCAGAUCUCUGGGCCGUAACUGACGCUGAGGAGCGAAAGGGUGGGGAGCAAACAGGCUUAGAUACCCUGGUAGUCCACCCCGUAAACGUUGGGAACUAGUUGUGGGGACCAUUCCACGGUUUCCGUGACGCAGCUAACGCAUUAAGUUCCCCGCCUGGGGAGUACGGCCGCAAGGCUAAAACUCAAAGGAAUUGACGGGGACCCGCACAAGCGGCGGAGCAUGCGGAUUAAUUCGAUGCAACGCGAAGAACCUUACCAAGGCUUGACAUACACCAGAACACCGUAGAAAUACGGGACUCUUUGGACACUGGUGAACAGGUGGUGCAUGGUUGUCGUCAGCUCGUGUCGUGAGAUGUUGGGUUAAGUCCCGCAACGAGCGCAACCCUCGUUCUAUGUUGCCAGCACGUUAUGGUGGGAACUCAUGGGAUACUGCCGGGGUCAACUCGGAGGAAGGUGGGGAUGACGUCAAAUCAUCAUGCCCCUUAUGUCUUGGGCUUCACGCAUGCUACAAUGGCCGGUACAAAGGGCUGCAAUACCGUGAGGUGGAGCGAAUCCCAAAAAGCCGGUCCCAGUUCGGAUUGAGGUCUGCAACUCGACCUCAUGAAGUCGGAGUCGCUAGUAAUCGCAGAUCAGCAACGCUGCGGUGAAUACGUUCCCGGGUCUUGUACACACCGCCCGUCAAGUCAUGAAAGU
rnacentral:rRNA from 1 species